AGAUUGAACGCUGGCGGCAGGCCUAACACAUGCAAGUCGAGCGGCAGCACGGGUACUUGUACCUGGUGGCGAGCGGCGGACGGGUGAGUAAUGCCUAGGAAUCUGCCUGAUAGUGGGGGGAUAACGUUCGGAAACGGACGCUAAUACCGCAUACGUCCUACGGGAGAAAGUGGGGGAUCUUCGGACCUCACGCUAUCAGAUGAGCCUAGGUCGGAUUAGCUAGUUGGUAGGGUAAAGGCCUACCAAGGCUACGAUCCGUAACUGGUCUGAGAAGAUGAUCAGUCACACUGGAACUGAGACACGGUCCAGACUCCUACGGGAGCAGCAGUGGGAAUAUUGGACAAUGGGCAGAGCCUGAUCCAGCCAUGCCGCGUGUGUGAAGAGGGUCUUCGGAUUGGUAAAAGCUAACGUUUUAAGGUGGGAAGGAAGGCAAUUAACCUAAUACGUUAGUGUUUUGACGUUACGACAGAAUAAGCACGGCUAACUCUGUGCCAG
rnacentral:rRNA from 1 species